CCUACGGGAGGCUGCAGUGAGGAAUAUUGGUCAAUGGGCGAGAGCCUGACCCAGCCAAGUCGCGUGAGGGAGUACUGCCCUAUGGGUUGUAAACCUCUUUUGUCGGGGAGCAAAAGCCGGACGUGUCCGGCUGUGAGAGUACCCGAAGAAAAAGCAUCGGCGAACGCCGUGCCAGCAGCCGCGGUAAUACGGAGGAUGCGAGCGUUAUCCGGUUUUAUUGGGGUUAAAGGGUGCGCAGGCGGAUUCUUAAGUCAGCGGUCAAAUCGUGGGGCUCAACCCCAUCCAGCCGUUGAAACUGGGGAUCUAGAGUGUGCGAGAGGUAUGCGGAAUGCGUGGUGGAGCGGUGAAAUGCAUAGAUAUCACGCAGAACCCCGAUUGCGAAGGCAGCAUACCGGUGCACAACUGACGCUCAGGCACGAAAGCGUGGGUAUCGAACAGGAUUAGAUACCCUGGUAGUC
rnacentral:rRNA from 1 species